GACGAACGCUGGCGGCGUGCUUAACACAUGCAAGUCGAACGGAAAGGCCCUGCUUUUGUGGGGUGCUCGAGUGGCGAACGGGUGAGUAACACGUGAGUAACCUGCCCUUGACUUUGGGAUAACUUCAGGAAACUGGGGCUAAUACCGGAUAGGAGCUCCUGCUGCAUGGUGGGGGUUGGAAAGUUUCGGCGGUUGGGGAUGGACUCGCGGCUUAUCCGCUUGUUGGUGGGGUAGUGGCUUACCAAGGCUUUGACGGGUAGCCGGCCUGAGAGGGUGACCGGCCACAUUGGGAGUGAGAUACGGCCCAGACUCCUGCGGGAGGCAGCAGUGGGGAAUAUUGCACAAUGGGCGGAAGCCUGAUGCAGCAACGCCGCGUGCGGGAUGACGGCCUUCGGGUUGUAAACCGCUUUCGCCUGUGACGAAGCGUGAGUGACGGUAAUGGGUAAAGAAGCACCGGCUAACUACGU
rnacentral:rRNA from 1 species